GAUGAACGCUGGCGGCGUGCCUAAUACAUGCAAGUCGAGCGAACAGACGAGGAGCUUGCUCCUCUGACGUUAGCGGCGGACGGGUGAGUAACACGUGGAUAACCUACCUAUAAGACUGGGAUAACUUCGGGAAACCGGAGCUAAUACCGGAUAAUAUAUUGAACCGCAUGGUUCAAUAGUGAAAGACGGUUUUGCUGUCACUUAUAGAUGGAUCCGCGCCGCAUUAGCUAGUUGGUAAGGUAACGGCUUACCAAGGCAACGAUGCGUAGCCGACCUGAGAGGUUGAUCGCCCACACUGGAACUGAGACACGGUCCAGACUCCUACGGGAGGCAGCAGUAGGGAAUCUUCCGCAAUGGGCGAAAGCCUGACGGAGCAACGCCGCGUGGGUGAUGAAGGUCUUCGGAUCUUAAAACUCUGUUAUUAGGGAGGAACAAAUGUGUAAGUAACUAUGCACGUCUUGACGGUACCUAAUCAGAAAGCCACGGCUAACUACGUG
rnacentral:rRNA from 1 species